UACAGCGCACUGGAUCUUCCGUAAGGAGGAGGAGCUGGACUGUCAGCUGGUCCUGGUGCGUGCCUGUAAAUGUACUAAAGGAAUUUUGUAAACAAUGGCCUUCGAGAAGACAGGAGGCCAAGGUGCAGGACUACAGGAUCUCCUAAGGUCAAUCAGACCUUGUUUGUGGAAUUCAUCUUGCCAGAAAAACAGACAACCAUUUUUCUUCCUUUUUGUUUUCUGAUUAUCACAAUUAAACAUCAGGAGAUGCUACUGCUGAUUUCAAGGACACGCGGCUUUUGUGUGAGGUCUACUUCCCCCACGGAGGCCGAGGCCGCGCCGUCACGGACCAGCAGCCUUUGGAGACCUGCGACCUGCGACAUGGCCUCGUGGUGUGCCCAUCUGUCUGUUUCUCCUCGUGGGACUGGCUGCUCCAUCCAGGUCUCUCAGCCACCAAGCAACUCUCUGCCUGGGACUCACUGCCCCUUGUGGCUCACUACAGCCACUUGGGGAACUGCGGCUGUCCCUACCUGGGACUGGCUGCUCUCAGGAGCAGCAGCCCACUGCCUGCUGCCACUUUGGGGACCUGUGGUCUCGGGACCCACUGCUCACUGCCCACUGCCUGCCAUCACUUUGGAGGAGCUGCGGCGUGGUCUCAUGGACCCACUGCCUGCUGCAGCCACUCAGGGAUCCGCAGCAUUUUACUUAAUCCAUUACAACUAUGCUAAAAAUACUCUUUCUUGUGAGGCAGUUGUGGCUAGGAAGUGAUGCCCUAGCCAACGGCCAAGGGAAGGAGCCCAGGAAGAUACUGCAGAGAUGCCAACCCUGGAAACGGCCUGCAUGGGACUCUAUGAGGGACCUGGGUUGAAGCUACCUGACCAGAUGGGUUUAUAAAGUUGCCCUUAGGCGUUAACAAACGUUUGCUUUAAUCUGAGUUUAGGGUUAUUUACUGCACAGCAACAUAAAACAAAUAUAACCCGUAUUCCAUUCACACUGUGGUUAUUUUCAAAGUCAGACUACUUGAAAUGAUGUUUUUAAAAAGAAUAUUAGAAAAGGCAUUAGGAAACGUUGGACCUGUAAUUCUCUUUUGCAUCUUCCCAAGCAAGUUGUCUAAAUUCCUCAUACAUUUUCCUGUGGAAGUGGUCUCUGAGGAAGAAGGACCAGAAACGAAAGAGGGUGUUCAUUUCCUGGGACUGUCCAAUUCCUAAGCGUUUUCUCUCUGGAAAGAGAGAAUACCUCAAAUGAAAAAACAAAACAUGAAACAACCCCGAAACAGCGAUUGAGAUUCUGCUAAAUAAAGGACCAACAGUAAAUCUAUGACACACCACUCAAGUUAUGAAUACUUGUCAACAGUACAGCAAGAAGGUACUAAGUCCAUUUACUAAUGUGUUUAAGCUGUAAAAAACCCACAAGAAAAUAUAAACUAAAGGUACUUAUUUAGGACAAAAUAAAAGGCUAUCUUAGUAAGAUAUAAAGUGACAGUUUAAGUUUUAGAAUCUCCUGCACAUCAGUGCAGCUAGACAAAGGGCAGGCACCUUGUCAUUUAGACCAAGUUCCCUACCAUGUCAACACAGCUAGACGAAGCGUCUCACCACUUAGACACCUCCGGCGAUACUUGUGGUACUCUCGCUGGGUGAAGCCGUUUUCCUUCAGCAGUUCGUGAGAAGGAUGCUGGAACUUUGGGAAUGAGUGAGGCGUGCAGCUGCAGCCUCCUGGGAGUGGUGCCCCUUCCGAAGGUGAAGCAUUGGAACUGCUGUUUGAGGACAGGAAAAACUAUCAGUGGCUCACCCGAAACAAGGAGACUGGAUUCUCAUCACCAGGACUCAUGUGGAUGCUGGGUGGACGUGGCAGCUGCCUGCACUUCCAGAUUCAGAAGGCGGAGACAGGAGAUCCCUGGAGCAAUUGCCUAGAAAUAUUAGCCAUGUCAGUGACUCUUUUCUGGGCUUGACUAAAAACACCGGCUUCAGUGAGUAAGGUAGAGAGGACAUCAGCUUCCAUCCUCCAAGUGCGCACGCAUACCCACACGCGAAAAGGAGGAAUAGAAAACUCCCAAAACACAAAGCAAUGUGUGCUUCUAUUUCUUCAUUAUUGACUGCCUGAGCAGUGUCAAGCCAUGCUUAACUAUGUACACAUCUGGAGGCCCAAAAAUGAGCCUAUUUCCACCUUGUCUGAAGGUCAGAGAGUUUGAGGUUGCUCAAAACUGUUGACAACUACUAGGGCUAUGCAUCCUGACCUAGGUGUAGUCACAUGGUCCUUCUGACAGUAAGAUGGUCCAUAUAGGUAGAUCCACUUCACCCUGACCAAUAUUCAAGAUAUUCAAGAAUACUUCUGCUCCUUCUUCUAAAAUAGGAGGUUUGACCUUGGCAGUGGUGGCCUUCAGGAUACUUGGUCUAUGGUGGGUUCACUGCCUAAACAACAGAAUGCUUUGUCAGGAAUUCAUGACUUGAUGGCUCAGGUAUUGAAGCAAGUAACUAUUGUCCUUUGUAUUAUGUUAAUGUAUCUUUUGUUUUCUUCCCCCUUUUGUAUUGGAGUAUAAAAGUGUCUGGAAAAUAAACAUGGGUGAAUUCAG